AUUGAACGCUGGCGGCAUGCUUUACACAUGCAAGUCGAACGGUAACAGGUUAAGCUGACGAGUGGCGAACGGGUGAGUAAUGCAUCGGAACGUGCCCGGUCGUGGGGGAUAACGCAGCGAAAGCUGCGCUAAUACCGCAUACGAUCUGAGGAUGAAAGCGGGGGACCGUAAGGCCUCGCGCGAUCGGAGCGGCCGAUGUCAGAUUAGGUAGUUGGUGGGGUAAAGGCCUACCAAGCCGACGAUCUGUAGCUGGUCUGAGAGGACGACCAGCCACACCGGGACUGAGACACGGGCCAGACUCCUCCGGGAGGCAGCAGUGGGGAAUUUUGGACAAUGGGCGCAAGCCUGAUCCAGCAAUGCCGCGUGCAGGAAGAAGGCCUUCGGGUUGUAAACUGCUUUUGUACGGAGCGAAAAGGCUCUCUCUAAUACAGGGGGUUCAUGACGGUACCGUAGAAUAAGCACCGGCUAACUACGUGCCAGCAGCCGCCGUAA
rnacentral:rRNA from 1 species